rnacentral:rRNA from 1 species
UACGAAGGGGGCUAGGCGUUGCUCGGAAUCACUGGGCGUAAAGGGUGCGUAGGCGGGUCUUUUAAGUCAGGGGUGAAAUCCUGGAGCUCAACUCCAGAACUGCCUUUGAUACUGAAGAUCUUGAGUUCGGGAGAGGUGAGUGGAACUGCGAGUGUAGAGGUGAAAUUCGUAGAUAUUCGCAAGAACACCAGUGGCGAAGGCGGCUCACUGGCCCGAUACUGACGCUGAGGCACGAAAGCGUGGGGAGCAAACAGGG